GGUGCAUUAUGAGGCGGGCUGGACCUCUCGGGGUUACAGCCUUGCUGAAUUAUUCACCCUUGUCUUUUGCGUACUUCUUGUUUCCUUGGUGGGUUCGCCCACCACUAGGACAAACAUAAACCUUUUGUAAUUGCAAUCAGCGUCAGUAACAAAUUAAUAAUUACAACUUUCAACAACGGAUCUCUUGGUUCUGGCAUCGAUGAAGAACGCAGCGAAAUGCGAUAAGUAGUGUGAAUUGCAGAAUUCAGUGAAUCAUCGAAUCUUUGAACGCACAUUGCGCCCUUUGGUAUUCCAAAGGGCAUGCCUGUUCGAGCGUCAUUUGUACCCUCAAGCUUUGCUUGGUGUUGGGCGUCUUGUCUCUAGCUUUGCUGGAGACUCGCCUUAAAGUAAUUGGCAGCCGGCCUACUGGUUUCGGAGCGCAGCACAAGUCGCACUCUCUAUCAGCAAAGGUCUAGCAUCCAUUAAGCCUUUUUUUCAACUUUUGACCUCGGAUCAGGUAGGGAUACCCGCUGAACUUAAGCAUAUCAAAACCCGGGAGGAA
rnacentral:rRNA from 1 species